AGGUGGUACAUUAGAUAAGUUAGAGGGUAGUAAGCUAGUCAAAUGAGGUGUGAGAGGUGGUACAUUAGAUAAGUUAGAGGGUAGUAAGCUAGUCAAAUGAGGUGUGAGAGGUGGUACAUUAGAUAAGUUAGAGGGUAGUAAGCUAGUCAAAUGAGGUGUGAGAGGUGGUACAUUAGAUAAGUUAGAGGGUAGUAAGCUAGUCAAAUGAGGUGUGGGAGGUGGUACAUUAGAUAAGUUAGAGGGUAGUAAGCUAGUCAAAUGAGGUGUGGGAGGUGGUACAUUAGAUAAGUUAGAGGGUAGUAAACUAGUCAAAUGAGGUGUGAGAGGUGGUACAUUAGAUAAGUUAGAGGGUAGUAAACUAGUCAAAUGAGGUGUGGGAGGUGGUACAUUAGAUAAGUUAGAGGGUAGUAAGCUAGUCAAAUGAGGUGUGGGAGGUGGUACAUUAGAUAAGUUAGAGGGUAGUAAGCUAGUCAAAUGAGGUGUGAGAGGUGGUACAUUAGAUAAGUUAGAGGGUAGUAAGCUAGUCAAAUGAGGUGUGAGAGGUGGUACAUUAGAUAAGUUAGAGGGUAGUAAACUAGUCGUGUAAAAUAUACAGAUGUAGGAUUUUAAUUUGAUCACUCUUAUGUUGCUGAGAAUGUUCCUGCGCUUCAGGAAAUGCAAGCUGGAGGGCGGAGUGUCUGCGGGUUUUCGCUCCACCCUUGUACUUAAUUGAUGAAUUAAGGUCACUAAUUAGUAAGGAACUCCCCUCACCUGGUUUUCUAGGUUUUAAUUGAAAUGUAAAAACAAACA